UACGUAGGGGGCAAGCGUUGUCCGGAUUCAUUGGGCGUAAAGAGCGUGUAGGCGGCCAGGUAGGUCGGUUGUGAAAACUGGAGGCUCAACCUUCAGAGGUCGACCGAAACCAUCUGGCUAGAGUCCGGGAGAGGAGAGUGGAAUUCCUGGUGUAGCGGUGAAAUGCGCAGAUAUCAGGAAGAACACCCGUGGCGAAAGCGGCUCUCUGGACCGGUUCUGACGCUGAUGCGCGAAAGCGUGGGGAGCAAACGGG
rnacentral:rRNA from 1 species